UACGAAGGGUGCAAGCGUUAAUCGGAAUUACUGGGCGUAAAGGGUGCGUAGGCGGUUGUUUAAGUCUGUCGUGAAAUCCCCCGGGCUUAACCUGGGAAUUGCGAUGGAGACUGCAAGGCUAGAAUCUGGCAGAGGGGGGUAGAAUUCCACGUGUAGCAGUGAAAUGCGUAGAGAUGUGGAGGAACACCGAUGGCGAAGGCAGCCCCCUGGGUCAAGAUUGACGCUCAUGCACGAAAGCGUGGGGAGCAAA
rnacentral:rRNA from 1 species